UUUUGUAUAAUGGGUCAGCGACUUACGUUCAGUAGCAAGCUUAACCGUAUAGGGCAGGCGUAGCGAAAGCGAGUCCGAAUAGGGCGUUCAGUUGCUGGCGUAGACCCGAAACCAGGUGAUCUAUCCAUGGCCAGGAUGAAGGUGCGGUAACACGUACUGGAGGUCCGAACCCACUAACGUUGAAAAGUUAGGGGAUGAGCUGUGGAUAGGGGUGAAAGGCUAAACAAACCUGGAAAUAGCUGGUUCUCUCCGAAAACUAUUUAGGUAGUGCCUCGUGUCUCACCUUCGGGGGGUAGAGCACUGUCAUGGUUGGGGUCUAUUGCAGAUUACCCCGCCAUAGCAAACUCCGAAUACCGAAGAGUGCAAUCACGGGAGACAGACAUCGGGUGCUAACGUCCGGUGUCAAGAGGGAAACAACCCAGACCGCCAGCUAAGGUCCCCAAAUAUAGCUAAGUGGGAAACGAAGUGGGAAGGCUAAAACAGUCAGGAGGUUGGCUUAGAAGCAGCCACCCUUUAAAGAAAGCGUAAUAGCUCACUGAUCGAGUCGUCCUGCGCGGAAGAUGUAACGGGGCUAAGCUAUAUACCGAAGCUGCGGAUGCGUGCUUAGCACGCAUGGUAGGAGAGCGUUCCGUAAGCCUGCGAAGGUGCCUUGUAAAGGGUGCUGGAGGUAUCGGAAGUGCGAAUGCUGACAUGAGUAGCGAUAAAGGGGGUGAAAGGCCCCUCGCCGUAAGCCCAAGGUUUCCUACGCAACGUUCAUCGGCGUAGGGUGAGUCGGCCCCUAAGGCGAGGCAGAAAUGCGUAGCUGAUGGGAAGCAGGUCAAUAUUCCUGCACCAUUGUUAGAUGCGAUGGGGGGACGGAUCGCGGAAGGUUGUCCGGGUGUUGGAAGUCCCGGUCGCUGCAUUGGAGAAGGCACUUAGGCAAAUCCGGGUGCGUAAUUCAAGGGUGUGGCGCGAGCUCCCUAGGGAGCGAAGCAAUUGGAAGUGGUUCCAAGAAAAGCCUCUAAGCUUCAGUCUAACGAUGACCGUACCGCAAACCGACACAGGUGGGCGAGAUGAGUAUUCUAAGGCGCUUGAGAGAACUCGGGAGAAGGAACUCGGCAAAUUGGUACCGUAACUUCGGGAUAAGGUACGCCCUUGUAGCUUGACUGGCUUGCGCCAGAAGGGUGAAGGGGUUGCAAUAAACUGGUGGCUGCGACUGUUUAAUAAAAACACAGCACUCUGCAAACACGAAAGUGGACGUAUAGGGUGUGACGCCUGCCCGGUGCCGGAAGAUUAAAUGAUGGGGUGCAAGCUCUUGAUUGAAGUCCCGGUAAACGGCGGCCGUAACUAUAACGGUCCUAAGGUAGCGAAAUUCCUUGUCGGGUAAGUUCCGACCUGCACGAAUGGCGUAACGAUGGCCACACUGUCUCCUCCCGAGACUCAGCGAAGUUGAAGUGUUUGUGAUGAUGCAAUCUACCCGCGGCUAGACGGAAAGACCCCAUGAACCUUUACUGUAGCUUUGCAUUGGACUUUGAACCGAUCUGUGUAGGAUAGGUGGGAGGCUAUGAAACCGGAACGCUAGUUUCGGUGGAGCCGUCCUUGAAAUACCACCCUGGUUUGUUUGAGGUUCUAACCUUGGCCCGUGAUCCGGGUCGGGGACAGUGCAUGGUAGGCAGUUUGACUGGGGCGGUCUCCUCCCAAAGCGUAACGGAGGAGUACGAAGGUACGCUAGGUACGGUCGGAAAUCGUGCUGAUAGUGCAAUGGCAUAAGCGUGCUUAACUGCGAGACCGACAAGUCGAGCAGGUGCGAAAGCAGGUCAUAGUGAUCCGGUGGUUCUGUAUGGAAGGGCCAUCGCUCAACGGAUAAAAGGUACUCUGGGGAUAACAGGCUGAUACCGCCCAAGAGUUCAUAUCGACGGCGGUGUUUGGCACCUCGAUGUCGGCUCAUCUCAUCCUGGGGCUGUAGCCGGUCCCAAGGGUAUGGCUGUUCGCCAUUUAAAGAGGUACGUGAGCUGGGUUUAAAACGUCGUGAGACAGUUUGGUCCCUAUCUGCCGUGGGCGUUGGAUAUUUGAAGGGGGCUGCUCCUAGUACGAGAGGACCGGAGUGGACGAACCUCUGGUGUACCGGUUGUCACGCCAGUGGCAUCGCCGGGUAGCUAUGUUCGGAAGAGAUAACCGCUGAAAGCAUCUAAGCGGGAAACUCGCCUUAAGAUGAGAUAUCCCUGGGGACUAGAUCCCCUUGAAGGGUCGUUCGAGACCAGGACGUUGAUAGGUCAGGUGUGUAAGCGCAGUAAUGCGUUCAGCUAACUGAUACUAAUUGCCCGUAAGGCUUGAUCCUAUAACA
rnacentral:rRNA from 1 species